rnacentral:rRNA from 1 species
AUUGAACGCUGGCGGCAGGCCUAACACAUGCAAGUCGAACGGUAACAGGAAGCAGUUUGCUGCUUUGCUGACGAGUGGCGGACGGGUGAGUAAUGUCUGGGAAACUGCCUGAUGGAGGGGGAUAACUCCUGGAAACGGUAGCUAAUACCGCAUAACGUCGCAAGACCAAAGAGGGGUACCUUAGGGCCUCUUGCCAUCGACUUUGCCCAGAUGGGAUUAGCUAGUAGGUGGGGUAACGGCUAACCUAGUCGACGAUCCCUAGCGGGUCUGAGAGGUUGACCGGCCACACUGGAACUGAGACACGGUCCAGACUCCUACGGGAGGCAGCAGUAGGGAAUAUUGCGCAAUGGGCGCAAGCCUGAUGCAGCCAUGCCGCGUGUAUGAAGAAGGCCUUCGGGUUGUAAAGUACUUUCAGCGGGGAGGAAGGGAGUAAAGAUAAUACCUUUGCUCAUUGACGUUACCCGCAGAAGAAGCACCGGCUAACUCCGUG